GUAACGAGUCCGGCUGCAACACAGGCACACGGACACAGUACCGGUACAUGCACACAACAGCGCUCACACGGCUAGCACGACACCGUUUCGGGUGGAAAGGCUAGUUCCGUGUCAGGCUUUAGUUCAAAGAACCUGAGAGCGGAUGUCAGCGAGCUACCGGCCUCUGGAGGACACAGGUCAGCCCUGCAGGUGUCCGCCUGAGCUCACUAGCCACGUGGCUGGCAGGGUCUGCUGUAGCGAGAUGAGGAGAAGCAGUCCCUGCUGGUUUUGACUCCCUAACCCGCGGGAGUGCCAGAGCGUAUUGUGAAAAGCACAUUGUGAAAGUUGUUCCAGCGCCGUCUGGCUCGCCGCUGCACACCGCUCUAUCGGACUGCACAGAGAGGGCCUUUGCCGCUUGGAUUGUUAAACAAACGGGUUGCAACUGUAACAGAGUCCAGACUGCGCUUCCCAGCGGGGGCUGGCCUCUGUCAUCACGGCUUCAGUCUGUUACGCUUGCAAAAUGUGGAAAAAGACUUUGUAUGCAAACAUGUGCCUGGAUGGGACCGUUUCAGUUUCUUUACAGUUCCUGGAGAGUCGUAGCAGGAAUGCUCCUUUCAGUAAUGGUGUUCUUCUGCCUCCCCUUCUCAGAGUUGAAAAGCCUCGUUUCUCUACCACGCUGUUCGGAAGUCCUCCCUACUCGUCUCAUUGAAUGAGCUCUGUUUAGACACUAGUCUCUUUCCAUUGAACUUUUCUAAUUAUUGCUUCAGCCAUUCCAACAAAGCAUGAUAUUUGCAACUCACAGACUGGAAGAUAUAUUGAUUGAUUGAUUUUGUAGUUCAAUCACAGACUGGAAGAUAUAUUGAUUGAUUGAUUUUGUAGUUCAAUCACAGACUGGAAGAUGUAUUGGUUGAUUGAUUGAUUGAUUUUGUAGUUCAAUCACA